UCAGACAGCCCCGCUCAGACGCCCGCCCUUGGCGGGAGGGUGGGGGGAACACGGUCGCCGGAAAGGGGGCGGGGCCCAUGGAGGGUCUGGCCCGCCCCUUCCCCCCAAAAAAGACCUAGCCGGUGGCAGCGUCUCCCGGGAGUCCGCUUCCUGCCCCGCCCCUCCGCCCCUUGGCUCCUUAAAGGCGCAGGCCUCCAUCCUGGCUCCCACUGCUGCCAACUCCUGAGCCACCGUCGGCCGAUCCCCUUUAACCUGGGAGAGAACUUUCACUUUGCUCAAUUGAACCUGUGCCUGGGUCAGUCCCUACAAGCUCCUUCCUCUAUUUCCAAUAAGCAUUGGUUUAACCCAGCUGGACCAAAGCUUGGGAUACGGAAUGGGCUCUGUGGGGGCUUUCCCGACUAGGUAAAUAUAGUGACUAAGAGACACCCCCCCACACCCAACAGUGUCUCUAGACCCCUCCAGGAACCCCAUAAGUCAUCCUCCAAACUGCCCGACUUCUCCCGUCACUCAGCUCUAGAAAUGAGGGAAGAAAAAAAGGAGACAUGGAGUCUCAAUAGAGUUGAAACCAACUGGCAUCCGCUUGUAUAGAGUGAGUGAAUGUGCAGCAUUCGUGCCCCUGGGUCACAGCCGUAAGAGCCCUUGUCCUCUACUCUGACGCUUCAUGGACUGGCACGUGAUGAAGAUCCUGGGAUUCGUCCACCUCUUGGUAUUAUGAAGAAUGCUAUUACGAACAUGGAUGCACAAAUAUCUUUUGAGGCCCUUGCUUUCAAUUCUUUCAUAUAUCCAGAUAUGGACGAGCUGGAUCAUAUGGCUCCUCUCUGGACGUGCUUCCUGAUCUGUGUAACGCGGAAACCCAACAACCAAGGAGCUGAGGUGCUGGCAUUGUACUGGCGACACUGGGCACACAGUAUGUGAGUGAUCCUUACUUGAAUCCUGUGACAAGCAGGGAGGGUUCAGCCCUCUGAAGACCUUGGCAGAUAAGGCACCAUUGGACCCUUCAGACCUCUCUUCUGGCUUUAUAGGACCAGACUGCCUUCUCCUGAUUGGGGAAGAAUGACCAGAGAUCUAGGAAUGUCUUAAGAUCCCUGAGCCACCGUGUGAGGAGACUGACUACCUACUGGAGGGGCCACACUGAGAAGCCCCUGGACUACAUGGAAAAGAGGGGUCUAGGAAGGAUGGCCUUCCAGCAACCCCUGCCCAAGGGCCAAGCACAUGAGUAAAACCAUCUUGGAUGUUCAAGACCAGCUCAGACAUAAGCUGAACACUACCAAGUGACCCUAGCCACUGCCACGUGGAGCAGAAGGGUUAUCCAUCUGAGUCUUGCCCAAAUUCCUGACUCAUAAAAAUCUUGAAAUUUAAUAAGAUAGCUAUUAAGUCACUACAUCCAUUUGAUUUUUUAACUUCGCAUUUUGGAAUAAUCUUUGACUUACAAAAAAAUUGCAAAAGUAGUAAAGAGAGUUCCCAUAUACUUUUCAUCCAUGUUCCCUGAAUGUUGGCCUCUUACAUAACCAAACACAUUUUGGCCAGAAAAUCAGAGGAGCAUUGGCCCUUUCUGAGUGUAUCAUAUCAAGGGGUAUGUGAUGUGCAAUAUGUCCUAUUGCUAGCAAUAGUUUGGUUAAGGUGGUUUCUCUCCAUAUAGUUAUUAGUUUUCCCUUUGUGAGUAAUCAGUAUUUUGUGGGAAAAUACUUUGACACUAUGCUUAUAUCCUCAUCACACUGUCCUCCCAUCCCAUCUUGCCUGCAACAAUAAGCCACAAAGCUAGGAGAUGGGUGCAGCAAUAGAAAACUGAUAAUACUGUGACAGUUAGUGUUGCCUUUUCCAGGCUCUGAGAAAUAAUUUGGGUUAUCGUCUUUUUUUCUGUUUAUUUAUUUUUGAGAGAGAGAC